CCAAGGAGUCUUGCAAAUGCGCGAGUCACUGGGCGGCUACGAACCCCACGGGCGCAAUGAAAGUGAAGGUGCGGCUCGCUCCGCGCUGAGGUGGGACCCCGUGCCUUGGGCGCGGGKGCACCACCGGCCCGUCUCGCCGGCGCCCUCGCGGGUGCCCGGGAGGCGGAGCUGGAGCGUAUUUGCAAGGACCCGAAAGAUGGUGAACUAUACCCGAGCAGGGUGAAGCCAGAGGAAACUCUGGUGGAAGCCCGCAGCGGUUCUGACGUGCAAAUCGAUCGUCAAACUUGGGUAUAGGGGCGAAAGACUAAUCGAACCAUCUAAUAGCUGGUUCCCGCCGAAGUUUCCCUCAGGAUAGCUGGCGCCCAUCUCACGCAGUUUUAUCCGGUAAAGCGAAUGAUUAGAGGCAUCGGGGACAAAACGCCCUCGACCUAUUCUCAAACUUUCAACGGGUAAGAAGCCCGGCCCGCUCUCCUUGGGGCCGGGUGACGAAUGCGGGCGCCCAGUGGGCCA
rnacentral:rRNA from 1 species